rnacentral:rRNA from 1 species
UCCUACGGGAGGCAGCAGUCGAGAAUUUUUCUCAAUGGGCGAAAGCCUGAAGGAGCGACGCCGCGUGGGGGAUGAAUGGCUUCGGCCCGUAAACCCCUGUCAUUUGCGAACAAACUCCUCGACCUAAUACGUCGAGGAUUGAUAGUAGCGAAAGAGGAAGGGACGGCUAACUCUGUGCCAGCACCCGCGGUAAUA